rnacentral:sRNA from 1 species
ACUUCCGAUGUGGGACUCUAUAUACCCAAAGACAAAUAUCAAAAGGUUGUCAAAAUUUUCAAUUAGUGAUCAACAAGACAACUAGUUUGUUAUUAUAGGAAGAUAUGAAGAUUAAGACUAAUGAUGGUAGGGGCUGCGCGAACGCAAACCCCCUCUGCCACAAAUAAUGACGCAGGCUCUUCCUCAUGGGAAGACCUUAAGCAUAGCACCCCAGCGUUAUGUGCAAUGCGGUCACUAGCCUAGGCCACUCGUCUUAUUGAUCACGAGUUGACCCCGUCCAGGUAAGUA